AACUUGGCAGAGAUGCCUUGGUGCCUUCGGGAACGCUGAGACAGGUGCUGCAUGGCUGUCGUCAGCUCGUGUUGUGAAAUGUUGGGUUAAGUCCCGCAACGAGCGCAACCCUUAUCCUUUGUUGCCAGCGAUUCGGUCGGGAACUCAAAGGAGACUGCCGGUGAUAAACCGGAGGAAGGUGGGGAUGACGUCAAGUCAUCAUGGCCCUUACGAGUAGGGCUACACACGUGCUACAAUGGCGCAUACAAAGAGAAGCGACCUCGCGAGAGCAAGCGGACCUCAUAAAGUGCAUCGUAGUCCGGAUCGGAGUCUGCAACUCGACUCCGUGAAGUCGGAAUCGCUAGUAAUCGUGGAUCAGAAUGCCACGGUGAAUACGUUCCCGGGCCUUGUACACACCGCCCGUCACACCAUGGGAGUGGGUUGCAAAAGAAGUAGGUAGCUUAACCUCCGGGAGGGCGCUUACCACUUUGUGAUUCAUGACUGGGGUGAAGUCGUAACAAGGUAAGCGUAGCGAG
rnacentral:rRNA from 1 species